GAGUUUGAUCCUGGCUCAGAUUGAACGCUGGCGGCAGGCCUAACACAUGCAAGUCGAGCGGCAGCGGGAAGAUAGCUUGCUAUCUUCGCCGGCGAGCGGCGGACGGGUGAGUAAUACCUGGGGAUCUGCCCAAUCGGGGGGGAUAACAGUUGGAAACGACUGCUAAUACCGCAUACGCCCUACGGGGGAAAGGAGGGGACCUUCGGGCCUUCCGCGAUUGGAUGAACCCAGGCGGGAUUAGCUAGUAGGUGAGGUAAUGGCUCACCUAGGCGACGAUCCCUAGCUGUUCCGAUUGGAUGGACAGCCACACGGGAACGGAGACACGGACCAGACNCCAACGGGAGGCAACAAAGCCGAACAAAGGACAA
rnacentral:rRNA from 1 species